rnacentral:ncRNA from 1 species
CGCUUUUUUUGCCCGGGCGGAGCUCGACCGCAAACUCAAAUUCUGAGAGAUUUUAUCGACCGGCACCACGAUACCCACGGGGUCGGGUUAUUGAUUCCAUGCCGCUGGCAGCGCAACCCG